UGGGGAAUAUUGCGCAAUGGGCGAAAGCCUGACGCAGCGACGCCGCGUGAGGGAUGAAGGCCUUCGGGUCGUAAACCUCUUUCAGCAGGGAAGAAGCGCAAGUGACGGUACCUGCAGAAGAAGCACCGGCUAACUACGUGCCAGCAGCCGCGGUAAUACGUAGGGUGCAAGCGUUGUCCGGAAUUAUUGGGCGUAAAGAGCUCGUAGGCGGUCUGUCGCGUCUGCUGUGAAAACCUAGGGCUUAACUCUGGGCGUGCAGUGGGUACGGGCAGGCUAGAGUGCAGUAGGGGAGACUGGAAUUCCUGGUGUAGCGGUGAAAUGCGCAGAUAUCAGGAGGAACACCGGUGGCGAAGGCGGGUCUCUGGGCUGUAACUGACGCUGAGGAGCGAAAGCAUGGGGAGCGAACAGG
rnacentral:rRNA from 1 species